rnacentral:rRNA from 1 species
UACGAGGGCCUCAAGCGUUAUCCGGAAUCAUUGGGCUUAAAGGGUGUGUAGGUGGUCGAGUUAGUCUCACGUUAAAUUUUGCGGCCUAACCGUAAACAUGCGUGGGAAACGGCUCGACUUGAGCGUGCAAGGGGUCUCUGGAACUCUAGGUGUAGCGGUGAAAUGCGUAGAUAUCGAGAGGAACACCUGCGGCGAAGGCGGGUUGCUGGGCUGACACUGACGCUGAGGCGCGAAAGCCAGGGGAGCGAACGGG